UUCUUAUCAAGAGAGGCGGAGGGAUAGGCCCGAUGAAGCCCGGCAACCGAUAUUUGAAGAAUUGAGACAUAAAGUCUUAUCUUCCAAUGUAAGGUGCUAAUUCCUUCAGAUGCGUGUAAUAGCGACUCUGGUAGAUGAGAA
rnacentral:ncRNA from 1 species